rnacentral:rRNA from 1 species
GAUGAACGCUGGCGGCGUGCCUAAUACAUGCAAGUCGAGCGAGCAGACGAGGAGCUUGCUCCUCUGACGUUAGCGGCGGACGGGUGAGUAACACGUGGAUAACCUACCUAUAAGACUGGGAUAACUUCGGGAAACCGGAGCUAAUACCGGAUAAUAUAUUGAACCGCAUGGUUCAAUAGUGAAAGACGGUUUUGCUGUCACUUAUAGAUGGAUCCGCGCCGCAUUAGCUAGUUGGUAAGGUAACGGCUUACCAAGGCAACGAUGCGUAGCCGACCUGAGAGGGUGAUCGGCCACACUGGACCUGAGACCCGGUCCAGACUCCUACGGGAGGCAGCAGUAGGGACUCUUCCGCAAUGGGCGAAAGCCUGACGGAGCAACGCCGCGUGAGUGAUGAAGGUCUUCGGAUCGUAAAACUCUGUUAUUCGGGAAGAACAAAUGUGUAAGUAACUAUGCACGUCUUGACGGUACCUAAUCAGAAAGCCACGGCUACCUACGU